rnacentral:lncRNA from 1 species
UUUAAAGGUUGCAUAGCUCUCCUAAUGCAUAAACAUAAUCAAGGUGCUAAAAGGGUUUAGCAUAGUAGAAUCUAAGAAUAGAUCCUUUGCCUAUGUUAUAUAGCAUAAACAUAAACAAGACGCUAAAAAAGUUUAACAUAACGAUAUUUGUCUAUGUUGUAUUACAUGAAUAUCUCCAAAGGUAUGUGUCAUAAGACAUAAGAAAAAAGAGAUAACAUGAAUAGAAUACAAUAAAAAAUUACAUCUAUCAUAUUUAGAUACUAUGUAUUAUAUGUUUUAGUUUAUAGAAAAGUAAAAAACAAUAUAAAUGGUUGCUUCACAUUUAGCUACCAUUUAACAUGGAUAAUAGCAAGUUAC